AAGCCCCAUAGAUCCCGCCCCCCCACAGGCUGCUGGAAGCAUGCGGCGCCCCAUUGGACACUCCCGGUUCCCGCCUCUACCUUGCUGGCCCCCGAUUGGUCGAAGCCGUCCAGACCUUCUUGAAGGUGGGGCCAAAGAAACGCCCCACCGCUGGCCACGCCCCUUCCGGCGGACGUGACGUCAUGGCGACGGCAAGAAUGCUAUUGGCUGGUCUGACUCUGCUCGCUGCUGACCCAUUGGCUGACGGCAGCUUCCAGGGGGCGGAGCUUGAACACCUGGCUUUGCUACCGCGCCUUCUGGCGGAGGCGGAGCUUUGGGGUCCUUUAUGGGAUCUGAUCUGUGGGGCCGGAUUCCUGUGCGCCCACGGGGAGCGCGGCGCCGUGGGGCUGCUGGUCCAUGGGGCCGGGAUGC